rnacentral:rRNA from 1 species
ACAUGCAUACAACAUAGUGUUAAUGCAUUGGAUCCCAUUAGAACUAUGCAGUUAAGUGCACUCAGGCUAGAGUAGUACUUGGAUGGGUUACCGCUCGAGAAGUCCUAGUAUUUUACAUGCC